GAGGCUCUCUGAAGUCAGGGAGACCACAGAGGUGAGGGCGAACUGGCUCUUGCAUGAAGGACAGCCCACACAGCCAAUCACAGCUGGAGAGAGGGGGGAGCUUCCUCCCUCAACUCUGGUUUCAGACAGCCAAGCCUGCAGUUCCACAUUCGGACGUACUGAAGGAUGCUGCUAGCCUUGAGUAGGAGCGGUGCAACUCACUACCACCCGAGGGUUAAAACUGGAGUUUGGAGAGCAAACCUUCGAGUCAAUCUCGCAUCACACAUUCGAAUGUACAGGUGCUCCGCUUAUGCAUCCAGAAGGAUCUGAAAUUUUCCAGCUCUUUCAGAAAUAGAUAUGGCUGUAUCAAACCUCCAUGACCAACACGCACAGAAACAAGUCUUCAAUGAGAGCAGGGGAGGCAGGAGACUACUCUGGAUAAUUUUUCUUAUCCUGUCAGCUGCUGUGGGUGACUUUUCACACAAGUGUGUACCUUGCAGUCUCAAGAGAAGACUCUAGUGAUGACUUGCAUAUUUGAAGCAGCCAAUCAGAAACAGCACAAGCAAACCUUUAAUAGGACCGUGAACUCUAUACUGGUUGGUUCACACAUUCAGCUAUGUGUUAUCGAGUGCAUUGAGUAGUGAUCAGGGAUUGCUUGCUUAAGAUUUGAAUCAACCUUCAGUGUUUGUCUAUUUGUUUGCCUGAAAUAUUGAUAUCCUGCCUUUCCUGCUAUCUAGUGCAGUGUAAUCAAAUGGUGCCCAUGUGGAACUGAUGCAGUGUCAUGGCUAAGAGACUAAGCUAUAACCACGAAGCCCCUAUCAUGACCCCAGAUCCAGGACCCUCUCAAUUGCAGGAUGAAGUGGACAGUUUAUGAUAUGAGGUAAGGUGGGAAGGUUCUAUGACCCAGACUGUCUGUGACCCCAUACUGCCCGGACUGUCCAGGACUGCAACACUGCCAGGACUGUCACACCAGGAGAACCAGAGCCAGCAAUUCCACCAUGACUAGGGGACACAGCCCUGCCUUUGUCCUCAGACUCAGAUGAGUCUCCUUCAACCAUAGGAAUGAUGUCCUAGUUCUUACUUAACGGGAAACCAGAGGUUCCUUCCCCUCUGGUUCUGAAACCUGAAUGUAUGAACCAUGGAAUUACAGUGAAAAGAAAAGAAAAGAAGAGGACUCUCAGUUUCCCUCACCAAACUGCACUUUGCCAUCUUUGGUUCACUCUAGGUUCCAUCUUCUCAGCUUCUGGUUUGCCCAUGCCAGCAUUACAUACAAACGUCAGCACACAGUUUCACCUCUCUAAAACUGGGGGUAAGGGAAGAAGCUCCUCCCUUGCUCUGGCCCCUAUUGGCUGUGCAAGCUGUCUUUCAGGAAAGAAGGAAGCCUGCACAGCCAGCUGUGGAAGGAACCGCGGACUCACUGUACCCAUGGUUUUGUGUUACAUAUGACCUGGGCCAUGAGAAGCUGCUUUAUACCAAGUCAGGCCAUUGGUCCAUCUUGUUCAGGAAUUGUCUGCACUGACUAGCAGCAAUUCUCCAAGGCUUCAGACAGGAGUCUUUCCCAGCUCUACCUGGAGAUGCUGCUAGGGAUUAGACUUUCUGUAUGCAAAGGUCUGAGCAAUGGCCCUCUCCCAAGUGAACCUGCCCUCCCCAUGCCACCGGAGCCAGCAUUUAAGAAAUCAGGCAAGGUCCCUUUAAGAAACAGAGUCUUCCCUAGGGAAGGGGCAGGCCAAAUUCAGGGACUAAAUAAAAACCAGCAGUUUUCUCCAAGCUGUUGGGCAACAUCCCUUGUAUGUUGCUGUACACAGCUCUUGUUUUUGCUUGGCGCUGGCCGGAUUUCUGGCUCCUUUGGUCCCAGAGCUAUCUGAGGUCUACAUUACCUCAGAUACCCCUUGGUAUCUGCCUCAAAAGAGACACCAGCUCAGCCUAGAACAGGAUAUCUUACCACUGCCAUGAACUCACUAGGUGGCCUUAGGCAAUCCUCAGCCUUAAUCCCACCCACAAUCUGCUAUGACCAUGAUCCACAGUGACAUUGAUCCAAUGGUUGGAUGGAACCAAGCAGUUCAGCAAAGAAAAGUGAAGAAGGCUUGGCCAUCUUGCCUGUGUAGUUCUUCCAGCCUUAUAUUCAGUUUAAGGGUAUGAUGGUUAUUUAACUCCGCAACCAAUAAGCCCCAUGAGAAUAUGAUGGUUAGCAUGACAAAGGAACCAGUCAUCAUAACUAUGAUAAAGACAAUAAAGAUUAUUAGGGAAAGAAUGUUCCUGACUAAUCCCCACAUUAGAGCAAACAUGAUGGAAAGAUUUGGAGGCACAACAGCAUGCUUUUAAAUAUAUAUGUAUUCCUUUUGAGUGAGCAAUAUUGGAUGGAGAGGGAAGGUCCCAAAGAGCUCCAAGGCAAAGAAGUAUUAAAUACAAAGGCUGGUUUUAUUUUAUUGUAUUUUAUUUAUUGUACAGUGUAUAUACCAUCUUUUAUAAAAACCUAUCCCAAGGUG